CUCCUCCUCUUCAGCCUCCUUUCUCUUCUCCUCUUCCUCCUCUUCUUCCUCCUCCUCUCUUUUCCUCCUCCUCCUCCUCCUCCUCUUUUCUCCUCCUCCUCUUCAACCUCCUUUCUCUCCUCCUCUUCCUCCUUUUCUUCUCCUCCUUCUCUUUCUCCUUCUCUUCCUCCUCCUCUUCCUCUUCCUCCUUCUCUUUCUCGUCUUGCUCCUCCCCCUCUCCUCCUCCUCAACUUCCUUGUUUCUCUUCUCCUUCUCCUUCUUUUCCUGCCAUGAGAGGAGACUACGUUGGAACAAUUGUCUUCACCUGAUAACAACCAUCCUUUCCUAGGAAUUGGGGGAAGAGACCUAGUUUCUUUGGUCUCCUGGAGAGUUGAGGAAUGCUUCAUCCGUGCAGCUGGACAUUUUUGCAUCCAUCAUGUCCCCGAGAACAAAGCAAGUUGCUAAGUUCCAUCCUUCAACAAAGAGGGAACUGGCAGGAAACAGGUUUCGAAGAAGACUCAAGAAAAGUCUCAUUGAUGGGUGGUCACUGCAACUGAUCCGUAGGAUUGAAAAAAGCUCCAUGCCAAUCUUGGUUUAGCAAUCCUUAGAAGCUAGGUUCGCGUGUCCUUCUAGUUCAGUGUUAAGACGGGAAUUGAGGCCACUGCUCCCCUUCCCUUGACUGUAGGGUUGGCCCAGGUGAAGCCCAUUCAACAUGGCGGCCUUGACUAGAGGUUCCUGGACCCGGACUCCUGGACUCGGAUGAUUCAGAAAGUGAGGGAGAAGACCUGGCCAGCCCUGCUUCUCUUGAGCCCUUUCCCUCCCUGGCACCCACUCAAAGGGAGGAGGAGGGGCCGGCAAAGCCUGAUACCAUGGAGCCUCUUUCUGAUUUGGCAACGCCCCAAGAACAGUUUUGGAGUGACGCAAGGUUACGUAGACGUGAUCGGCGUGCGCAGCAGCGGAAGAGUUGGGACAAAGCCAAGUCAUAAUUGUCAUGCGGUGACAUCUGCAGAGACUAUAAAUAGGAGGCGGGACUUCCUGGUUUUUUGUCUUGGACAAAGUAAUGAAUUUGGGCGGGCAAUCUGUAUCAAUGGAGGGAAGAAUAUAUUCGUGAGUAAUUCUGGCCUUAUCUGUAAUUUCCUUGUUAUCUCCAGAAACUUGGCAGGCCCGUGGGUAGACGUAGCCAGGACAUUUAUAUAUAUGUAAAUAAAUCAGAAAAGGAGGCCUCUGACUGACUCUUUGCUGGGAGUAUUGGGG